UCGCGUCAAGCGCCGUAGGCAGGAGCGGGGGACCCAAGGUAAGUGCCCCACCGGGAAGUUGCCGGUGGCGGCUUGGGGUGUAGCCGUGCCGAGCGAGAGCGAGGCACGGCCGGGCAACUCAACCGGCCCGAACCCGACAGCUCACCUCGCAGGCGUCGGUGAGGGGAUCA
rnacentral:sRNA from 2 species